UAGUUAGUUGGUGAGGUAAAGGCUCACCAAGGCGAUGAUGGUUAGGGGUCCUGAGAGGGUAGUCCCCCACACUGGUACUGAGACACGGACCAGACUCCUACGGGAGGCAGCAGUGAGGAAUAUUGGUCAAUGGGCGCUAGCCUGAACCAGCCAUGCCGCGUGCAGGAAGACGGCCCUACGGGUUGUAAACUGCUUUUCUGCAGGAAGAAUAUAUAGUCUUAGGGCUAUAUUGACGGUACUGCAGGAAUAAGCAUCGGCUAACUCCGUGCCAGCAGCCGCGGUAAUACGGAGGAUGCAAGCGUUAUCCGGAUUCAUUGGGUUUAAAGGGUGCGCAGGCUGUAAAGCAAGUCAGUGGUGAAAGCCCUGGGCUUAACUCAGGGAUUGCCAUUGAAACUGUUUUACUAGAGUGUAGUAGAGGACGGCGGAAUGAGUUGUGUAGCGGUGAAAUGCAUAGAUAUAACUCAGAACACCUAUUGCGUAGGCAGCUGUCUAUACUACAACUGACGCUGAGGCACGAAAGCGUGGGGAGCGAACAGGAUUAGAUACCCUGGUAGUCCACGCUGUAAACGAUGAUCACUCGUUGUUGGCUACUUAGUAGUCAGUGACCAAGGGAAACCGAUAAGUGAUCCACCUGGGGAGUACGUCGGCAACGAUGAAACUCAAAGGAAUUGACGGAGGCCCGCACAAGCGGAGGAACAUGCGGUUUAAUUCGAUGAUACGCGAGGAACCUUACCUGGGCUUAAAUGCUGGCUGCAUUGGAGGGAAACCUUCAUUUCCUACGGGACCGCCAGCAAGGUGCUGCAUGGUUGUCGUCAGCUCGUGCCGUGAGGUGUCGGGUUAAGUCCCAUAACGAGCGCAACCCCUAUCGCUAGUUGCCAGCAUGUAAUGGUGGGGACUCUAGCGAGACUGCCGGUGUAAACCGGAGGAAGGUGCGGAUGACGUCAAAUCAGCACGGCCCUUACGUCCAGGGCUACACACGUGUUACAAUGGCCGGUACAAAGAGCAGCCACCUGGCGACAGGGCGCUAAUCUCAAAAACCGGUCUCAGUUCGGAUCGAAGUCUGCAAUUCGACUUCGUGAAGGUGGAUUCGCUAGUAAUCGCGCAUCAGCCAUGGCGC
rnacentral:rRNA from 1 species